AUAUGGCAGCAUAUAGCAGCACGUUUGAUUGUGCGUCAAGAAUUCAGCAUAGCAAGUCGGUAUGAAGGUCUGGGUAUUAAAUGGGUAAAUAGUUGAAUCCUUUCUCAAUUUCAGGAAUUUAUUCACAGGUAAAUAAUAAUAUGCUUUAAAACGCUCUGGUGACAAACACACUUUGUUGCCCUGUUUCCAAUCGUCCACAUGGCUGAAUCGUCCACAUGGCUGGGAGAACCUAUUCAAGCAAGUGAACCCCUCCUGCAUCUGAACUGGCUACAUAGAGGGCACAGCAUGAUCAGAGGUAUGUUUUGAUGUGAGAGAGGAUGCCAACCCCCAGUCCUGUCAUCGCCACCUUAACCGCUCUUAAGAUAACCUUUGGACUGACUGGGAGCAAAAGGCUGGUUAGGAGACACCACUAGAGACACUAUUAUCUCUAUCACCACAUCCUCUUUCUUCCUCUGUUUUUAUAAUGCAGACCAGAUGUACAUUGAAGUACAGAUUGAACUUGUAUUUAUAAUAUUACAAUUAUAAUAUUUAUAACACUUGAAUAAUUACAGUCUUUCAAGAAAGUGUUUCACUGUCACAUUCUGACCUUUAUUUCCUUCGUUUUGUCUUUAUUUAGUAUGGUCAGGGCGUGAGUUGGGUGGGCAGUCUAUGUUUGUUUGUUCUAUAUUUUGGGUAUUUCUAUGUUCGGCCUAGUAUGGUUCUCAAUCAGAGGCAGGUGUCAUUAGUUGUCUCUGAUUGAGAAUCAUAAUUAGGUAGCCUGGGUUUCAAUGUGUGUUUGUGGGUGAUUGUUCCUGUCUCUGUGUUUUGCACCAGAUAGGACAUUUCUUGUUUUUGUAAGUUUGUUCAUGUGAAGUGAUUUAUUAAAACAUUAAUCAAAAUAACCACGUUGCGCUUUGGUCCGCCUCUCCGUCAAUGGAAGAAAUCCCUUACAGAAUCACCCACCACAACAGGACCAAGCGGCGUGGUAAACAGCAGCUGCAGCAAGAGCAGCAGCAGGAGAAGAACAGAGGCAGCAGCAGCAGGAACAGCAACAGCGAGGUCAGGUUUUCGGGACAUGGGAGCAGAAUCUCGACUACACAACUUGGGAGGAGAUAGACAGGUGGGCGGUCGACCCAGGGAGAGUGCCGGAGCCCACCUGGGAUUCAAUGGAGCAGUGCAAGGAAGGUUACAGGAGAAUGAGGUUGGCGAAGCCAGCACUGUAGUGCAACAGGUACGAGAGGCAGCCCCCCCAAAAAAACAUUUUGGGGGGCACACGAGGUGUGGGGCACACGAGGUGUGGAGCUAAGCCAGGUAGCAGACCUGAGCUCACUCCUCGUGCUUAUUAUAAGCAGAGCGUUACUGGUCAGGCACCGUGUGAUGCGGUUAAGCGCACGGUGUCGCCAGUACGUGUCCAUAGC